UACAGAGGUCUCAAGCGUUGUUCGGAUUCAUUGGGCGUAAAGGGUGCGUAGGCGGCGCGGUAAGUCGGGUGUGAAAUCUUGGAGCUUAACUCCGAAACUGCAUUCGAUACUGCCGUGCUUGAGGACUGGAGAGGAGACGUGGAAUUUACGGUGUAGCGGUGAAAUGCGUAGAUAUCGUAAGGAAGACCAGUGGCGAAGGCGGGUCUCUGGACG
rnacentral:rRNA from 1 species